rnacentral:rRNA from 1 species
AGAGUUUGAUCAUGGCUCACAUUGAACGCUGGCGGCAGGCCUAACACAUGCAAGUCGAACGGUAACAGGAAGCAGCUUGCUGCUUUGCUGACGAGUGGCGGACGGGUGAGUAAUGUCUGGGAAACUGCCUGAUGGAGGGGGAUAACUACUGGAAACGGUAGCUAAUACCGCAUAACGUCGCAAGACCAAAGAGGGGGACCUUAGGGCCUCUUGCCAUCGGAUGUGCCCAGAUGGGAUUAGCUAGUAGGUGGGGUAACGGCUCACCUAGGCGACGAUCCCUAGCUGGUCUGAGAGGAUGACCAGCCACACUGGAACUGAGACACGGUCCAGACUCCUACGGGAGGCAGCAGUGGGGAAUAUUGCACAAUGGGCGCAAGCCUGAUGCAGCCAUGCCGCGUGUAUGAAGAAGGCCUUCGGGUUGUAAAGUACUUUCAGCGGGGAGGAAGGGAGUAAAGUUAAUACCUUUGCUCAUUGACGUUACCCGCAGAAGAAGCACCGGCUAACUCCGUGCCAGCAGCCGCGGUAAUACGGAGGGUGCAAGCGUUAAUCGGAAUUACUGGGCGUAAAGCGCACGCAGGCGGUUUGUUAAGCCAGAUGUGAAAUCCCCGGGCUCAACCUGGGAACUGCAUCUGAUACUGGCAAGCUUGAGUCUCGUAGAGGGGGGUAGAAUUCCAGGUGUAGCGGUGAAAUGCGUAGAGAUCUGGAGGAAUACCGGUGGCGAAGGCGGCCCCCUGGACGAAGACUGACGCUCAGGUGCGAAAGCGUGGGGAGCAAACAGGAUUAGAUACCCUGGUAGUCCACGCCGUAAACGAUGUCGACUUGGAGGUUGUGCCCUUGAGGCGUGGCUUCCGGAGCUAACGCGUUAAGUCGACCGCCUGGGGAGUACGGCCGCAAGGUUAAAACUCAAAUGAAUUGACGGGGGCCCGCACAAGCGGUGGAGCAUGUGGUUUAAUUCGAUGCAACGCGAAGAACCUUACCUGGUCUUGACAUCCACGGAAGUUUUCAGAGAUGAGAAUGUGCCUUCGGGAACCGUGAGACAGGUGCUGCAUGGCUGUCGUCAGCUCGUGUUGUGAAAUGUUGGGUUAAGUCCCGCAACGAGCGCAACCCUUAUCCUUUGUUGCCAGCGGUCCGGCCGGGAACUCAAAGGAGACUGCCAGUGAUAAACUGGAGGAAGGUGGGGAUGACGUCAAGUCAUCAUGGCCCUUACGACCAGGGCUACACACGUGCUACAAUGGCGCAUACAAAGAGAAGCGACCUCGCGAGAGCAAGCGGACCUCAUAAAGUGCGUCGUAGUCCGGAUUGGAGUCUGCAACUCGACUCCAUGAAGUCGGAAUCGCUAGUAAUCGUGGAUCAGAAUGCCACGGUGAAUACGUUCCCGGGCCUUGUACACACCGCCCGUCACACCAUGGGAGUGGGUUGCAAAAGAAGUAGGUAGCUUAACCUUCGGGAGGGCGCUUACCACUUUGUGAUUCAUGACUGGGGUGAAGUCGUAACAAGGU